AGGCGCGUAGCUCAGUUGGUUAGAGCGCUUGCCCGACACGCAAGAGGUCGGCGGUUCGAACCCGCCCGCGCCUACCA
rnacentral:tRNA from 1 species